UACGGAGGGUGCGAGCGUUGUCCGGAAUCAUUGGGCGUAAAGGGCGCGUCGGUGGCGGGAGAAGCGUGCGGUGAAAGCUCGGGGCUCAACCCCGAGUCUGCCGUGCGAACUCUCUUGCUUGAGCACUGUAGAGGCAGGCGGAAUUCCGGGUGUAGCGGUGGAAUGCGUAGAGAUCCGGAAGAACACCGGUGGCGAAGGCGGCCUGCUGGGCAGUUGCUGACACUGAGGCGCGACAGCGUGGGGAGCAAACAGG
rnacentral:rRNA from 1 species